rnacentral:rRNA from 1 species
UACGUAGGGUGCAAGCGUUAAUCGGAAUUACUGGGCGUAAAGGGCGCGUAGGCGGCCUUCUAAGUCGAACGUGAAAUCCCCGGGCUCAACCCGGGAACUGCGUCCGAUACUGGAAGGCUUGAAUCCGGGAGAGGGAUGUGGAAUUCCAGGUGUAGCGGUGAAAUGCGUAGAUAUCUGGAGGAACACCGGUGGCGAAGGCGACAUCCUGGACCGGUAUUGACGCUGAGGCGCGAAAGCCAGGGGAGCAAACGGG